ACAACCUACGGGACGCAGCAGUGAGGAAUGUUGGUCAAUGGGAGAGAUCCUGAACCAGCCAAGCCGCGUGAGGGAAGACGGUCCUAUGGGUUGUAAACCUCUUUUGUCGGAGAACAAAACCCGGGACGUGUCCCGGACUGCGUGUAUCCGAAGAAAAAGCAUCGGCUAACUCCGUGCCAGCAGCCGCGGUAAUACGGAGGAUGCGAGCGUUAUCCGGAUUUAUUGGGUUUAAAGGGUGCGUAGGCGGUCCGUUAAGUCAGCGGUAAAAUUGCGGGGCUCAACCCCGUGAAGCCGUUGAAACUGGC
rnacentral:rRNA from 1 species